AACAAACGCUGGCGGCGUGCCUAACACAUGCAAGUCGUACGAGAAAAUUCGCUUCGGCGAGUAAGUAAAGUGGCGCACGGGUGAGUAACGCGUGGAUAAUCUACCCUUUAGCUGGGGAUAACUCAUCGAAAGGUGGGCUAAUACCCGAUAAUACUGCUUCUACUGCGGUUGAGCAGUCAAAGGUAGCCUCUGUUUACAAGCUUCCACUGAAGGAUGAGUCCGCGUACCAUUAGCUAGUUGGUAGGGUAAUGGCCUACCAAGGCGACGAUGGUUAGCUGGUCUGAGAGGAUGAUCAGCCACACUGGAACUGAGACACGGUCCAGACUCCUACGGGAGGCAGCAGUGAGGAAUCUUGCGCAAUGGGGGAAACCCUGACGCAGCAACGCCGCGUGAGUGAGGAAGGUUUUCGGAUCGUAAAGCUCUGUCAGGUGGGAAGAAAUGUAUAGGGGUUAACAGCCCUUAUUCUUGACGGUACCACCAGAGGAAGCACCGGCCAACUCCGUGCCAGCCGCCGCCGUAAUAC
rnacentral:rRNA from 1 species